AGUCAGCAAGUGAUUUUAUUAAAGUAACAUAUUUUUAUCAAGUAAUAUUCCACUUAGCGUAUAACUAUCCUAUUUUUCUACCUGAAUUAUAUAUUUUAACGUGUCCCAUAUCGAUUUUGACCAUAUUUGGUGUUUCGUAUGUUUUAAUACCUAGUCAACUAUACCCUAUGAAUCGUGUUUGUAUAAUUUAGUGAUUUCGAGACAAAAGUUUGUUAUCUUAUAAAUAUUAGGAAAGAUGGCUCCGGUGAAGUUCGGCCUGUUCAAAGCUCGGAGCAGGGACUACCAGGAGCAGCCUUCCACUGAGAACUUGCUGCACACCAGUUAUAGCACAGACCAUGUGGGCACGCCGCAGUCUCCUAUACCUUCAACCAGUAAAGGUAUAACGGAAGAGCGGC